AUCCAGAUUACAAGAAAAGUACAACAACAACAACAACAACAAAAGCUUUCAAAUUUCUGAUCUCCCAGUUUGUUUGUUUUUAUAUUUAAUAGUCUCUUCUUUUUGGCUUUUUAACCAUUCAGAAUGAAAAAAAAAGUAGAUUUCGGUAAAAAGUUGUGCUUGCGUUCUGCUCUGACUGCAGUUAUAAAUAUUUCAUUCUUGCAGGAGGACCACCCUGAAGUAACAGGCAACUUGCUCUGAUUUUGUCCCCCCUUGCAAUCUGCCUCCUUUUGGGGGAAUGUUUGUAAAGCAGUUAACUUUCCUUGUAGUUUGUGACUCCAGUUGUUGUUUGUUUGUGCGAGGAAGGAUGCGUCUGUUCUGUUUUUUGCUCUCUUUUUCUGAGUUUUGGGGGAAUACGUUGAAGAGUAGAGCAGUCAGACUGAGCACUGUGUGUGGCUGGGAUGGGGAGACCCAGAGGAUUCUCAGUUCUCAGCAUGCUGUCUGUGGUUACU